rnacentral:rRNA from 1 species
UACGUAGGGGGCAAGCGUUGUCCGGAUUUAUUGGGCGUAAAGAGCUCGUAGGUGGUUCGGUAAGUCGGAUGUGAAAUCUCCAGGCUCAACCUGGAGGGGUCAUUCGAUACUGCCGUGACUAGAGUUCGGUAGGGGAGUGUGGAAUUCCUGGUGGAGCGGUGGAAUGCGUAGAGAUCCGGAAGAACACCGGUGGCGAAGGCGGUUAGCUGGGCAGUUGCUGACACUGAGGCGCGACAGCGUGGGGAGCAAACAGG